rnacentral:lncRNA from 1 species
GGACUCUUAGCUGCGGGUUUGCCCGAAGGAACCUGAAACAACCUGAAAGCAAAGACCGGGGAGGACACUCCGACCUCACAUGGGGGCAGUAGAGGCAGUGAUUUUAAAAUGGCUUUCCAGAGACCCAGCCGCGCUCCCUGCCCUUGAGGCGGAGGCUGGAGGUCGCGAGUCCGUGGAGCCCCGCUCGGUGCUGCGAGGACUGCAAUGGCGGCCGGGACCCUGAGCCGCGGGCGAGGCCGGCGCGAAGAACUAGGGGAGGACUCCGGCGACAACUCCAGCAGCCUCUCCACUUGGUCCCCCGAAGCACAGGUCCAGAAGCUCCUUGGUCUCCACGAGCGUCGCCACCCAGGUCACCACCGCCUGGGGAUCGAGAGGGUCCGCCGUUCGCACCUGGGCCCCGCAUCCUGCCCCACGCGUCUUCCCGGGGCCUUCUCCCCUCGCUUGCGGGUCUCCGCCUUCGCUUCCGCCUUCCUGCGUUGCAAAAUAAACAAAGACUAGUCUGAAGAGCAGGAACAGGCGUUCAGAGCGCCCGCUGCCCACCACCCCUCCGUUUCUCUUCCCACUGCAGCCCCUUAGUUGCGUGCGUCUGGGCUCCAGUGAGUUCACGGCAGCGACUGCUCCCACUCCACCCCGCUGUCUCUUCCCUCUGUCUUCCUGGCCUUCCCUUCCUGGCGGUGUCCUCCUCCAUGGGCGGAGGAAAAGUAGAACAAAGUGGCGCCCGUCUGCUAACCCCACGCCGGCAUGGGAGUGGAUGGUUGUGGUCACUGGAUGGUGGUAGCCCCUGCAUCUCUCAAUUUAUUUCUCUGUGGCUGUUCUUGAGAAACUGAGGUGCAGACCAAGGGAUCCCCCUCCCCCGGCUCCUCCUGUCUUCAGCUCGGAGGGAUCCAGGAGAAAAUGGCUUGGCUCUUGAAGCGGACAGGGGCCCUAGCAAGUGGCCCCUCCCUGCCCAGCAUCCCCUCUUGAACUUAGGUUCUCCUGGGGAUCAAAGGCAUAAUAAAGAGAAUGGGGUUUUUUUGGAGGAAGCGGGUACCACGUAUGACCUUCAGGCUUCUAUAAGGACUUUUACUCUGAGAGAAUGAGGUUUUCACAGAGAAUUGACAUAAUCUGAUUAUGUUUUAACAAUAUCCCUGUGUUUGAUAAAGUAUUUACAGGGACAAGGACAGGAGUAGGCAGACACUAGGAAAUACGGCCAUGGUCCAGGUGACAUGAUGGUGGCCUGGACCAGGCUUGAGGAAGCAAGUGUGGGCAUAAGACCCUGUGGCUGGAGGCUGGUGCCUGCUGAAUUCACUUUCUGAGGGGCCUCCAGUAAGACUGUCUCUGCCUCCCAGGCCAGUAUGGCCUUACUUCUUGUUCUCUGCCUCCCAGACCCCCUCUUCAGCUGAUACCAGAAGAUUCAGGUAGCAGAGGCCAAAGAGAGUAAUAUGAGAUUUAAGUUAAUACAUAACUAAAGAAGAGAUGACACAGUGGAAGAGAAGGCCAACCAUUCAUGGAUCUCAGCUGCAAGCAACAGAAACCAGUUCAGGUUAAUUUCAAUGGAAAAGGAGUUUAUGAUAAUGAUAUUGGGUGGAUUACAUGGCCAGCAUGUAUGAAGAGCCAGGUUCUAUGAAACACAGACUCACCAAGACAAGACACAACUCACCUAAUGUGGACAUCCCUACCAACACUAACACGCAAAAGACUCUACAGCCUGCACCACCAACCCCUCCACUGCUGCACUCUGACACUGCCCCUAGCUCUGCUGCCACAGCUGCACUAGGAAUUCAGUCUGAAUGGAGGCUCCCAGUCCCUGCUUCUUUGACUCACUGGUUCCUGCUUCCAUGGCUGAAUCUGAUUAGUGGAAUGUACCUCACUUGGCCAUGUCCUAGCUCCAAGGGAGUCUAGGCAAGCAAGAGUUUGGCAUUUUCAUCUCCCAUUGGGUGAGGCAGUCUCUCCUCCACACUAUGGCUAAUAACGUUGAAAAAGAUUCCAAACGUACACUGGAUUUCAGAUGCUAAGCAGACCUAAAAAUUCACAAAUAUUCAUAAGAAAAUGUAAAUCAGAUUGGGACCAGUGAAUGUCCUAUAACAUUAUUAGACUGAUCUCUUUCUGGGGCUGUGAUCCACAGUACCAAAAGGAAAUUACAAAAAUAUAAAAAUGUUCCAUUUUGCUUGUGAUUUAGCCUUCGGAAAAAAAUCAAUGAUUAAUAUUUAUUUGGGUAUUGGUUUAAAUAUUAUUGUCAACAUGAUAAAAUUUUUAUAAAACGUGUGUGAUAUUUGUAUAGGUAUCAAUAUGUAUGGAUAGAUACGUGACAGAUAAGUCACUCAAACACUGACAAUAUCAUAUCAUUUGACAUUCAUCUUGAUCCAGCUAUAACUAGAGCUAAAAAAAAAAAAACUCUUGGAAUUUCCAGGUAUUGAAACAAAUAAAUUACCUUUUGUGCUUCAGCUAGUUUGAGAUGACGUUCCUUGUCACUUGUACCCAACAGAGUCUGGAAUAAAAAUACACAUGUUUAAAUAUUAUUGAUACUUAACAUUUGUUUAUUCUAUUUGGACUUAUAAAUGGACUUAUAUGAGAGUUUUUUAAUUAGUAUCAGAAGUAAAUGAGUUAAAAACUGAAAUGGUUAUAGAUUUAUUUUUAUAUCUACAGCUAUGAUAACGUUUUAUAUUGUAAAUAUUCUAUAUAUACAGUUUUUUGUGUUUUGUUUUUUGUUUUUUGUUUUUUUUGAGACACAGUCUUGCUCAGUCACCCAGGCUAGAGUACAAUGGCAUGAUCUUGGCUCAUUGCAACCUCCACCUCCCAGAUUCGAGUGAUUCUCAUGCCUCAGCCUCCCAAGUAGCUAGGAUUACAGGCAUGUGCCACCACGCCGACCUAAUUUUUGUAUUUUUGGUAGUGACGGGGUUUCGUCAUACUGGUCAGGAGUUUGAGACCAGCCUGGCCAACCCAGAGAAACACAUCUCUACUAAAGAUACAAAAAUUAGCUGGGCAGGGUGGUGUCUGUGUAAUUCUAGCUACUCAGGAGACUGAGGGAUGAGAAUUGCCUACAUCUGGGAGGCAGAUGUUGCAGUGAGCAGAGAUUCUCUGUACUCCAGCCUGGGUGACAGUCAGACUCCAUCUCAAAAAAAUAAAAAAUAAAUGUGUACAAGAAUGUUAUGAGACACUUCCCACUAAUCAUCAAAAAACGAACAUGGACAUAUAUACCUUUAUUCCCUCCUAUAGCUCACUAUAAGUAUCCUAAAGAUAUUCAUUUAAAAGGUCAAACCACAGAAUGAAUAGAAGUGGCAAAGAGAUAACAGCAAUACAAUUUUGGAAGCAACAAUGCAGAUGUUUUAGUAGUAGUUUUUAGCAAACAGGAGAAAGCCAGAACCUAAGCCAACAGUGGCAGAAGUAUAAACAGAGUAGUUUUUGCUGCAAAUCCCUCAAAAGCCCUGAACUGGAGGUGGCAUGUGCCCGAUGGUGGAGCAGAUAGGAUGAAAAAUAGGGGAACUAACUGAAGUCACAAUACUUAGCAGUCCAUAGCCACUCCCCACUGGCAGUAAACUGGUUUGCUCUCCAGAGAUGUCAAUUCAGCAAAGCUCUGGACUUUAGGACCAGAGUCGCCUAAAGGCAGUAAGACUGUUCUGAAAACCAGGGAACAAGUGACAGGGUACAUUCCAAACAGAGAGACUCUUUGGCCCCUUUAUCGACUUGGAUCCCAGAAUAUUGAUGGUUAAUUUAGGGUGCAGCAUUCAGGCUUAGUUUACUUUCUUCUUUCUAUACGUUUUUCAUUCUUUACAAUGAACAUAUAUUAUGCACGCAAUUAAAAAAAAAUCCAGGAGGUGAAUAAUUUUCAAUCCAUAAUUCUAUAUCCAGCCAAACUAUCUGUUGUGCUACUCCAAAAUAUAUAGGAUUAUUGAGCUGCAGGUAAUUAAGAAGAAGCAGACGCGGAGAAGCUCUCUGCCGUCCCUCUAUUUGCCUAAAAGCAGGACAUACAAAAACUGAAAGUAUUCUGCCUCCCUUCUACCAGGGAGACCAAAAGGUAACCACAGAAGACAACUUUAAACCUUUAUCAUCUGGAGAUGAUACCAGGGAAGUCUCCAUUAACAAACAUUACUAGCUAGCCUUUAUUUGCUAUGCAUUUGCCUUCCUACAAGUUGCCACUCCUAAAGUUCUUUUCCUUUACCUCUCCAGAAAUUUGCUUUCAUUACUGAAGAUGCUGUGUCAGCCAGAAUUCAAAGCCAAUUCUGAGAACUACUCAUUCCCUGGGUGUCUCCCUUGUAUGUAUGAAAUACACACGUUAAUAAACUGUUUUUCUCUUGUUAAUCUG